rnacentral:rRNA from 1 species
CACGUAGGGGGCGAGCGUUGUCCGGAUUUAUUGGGCGUAAAGAGCUCGUAGGCGGCUCAGUAAGUCAGGUGUGAAAACUCCAGGCUCAACCUGGAGACGCCACUUGAUACUGCUGUGGCUAGAGUCCGGUAGGGGAGCAUGGAAUUCCUGGUGUAGCGGUGAAAUGCGCAGAUAUCAGGAGGAACACCAGUGGCGAAGGCGGUGCUCUGGGCCGAUACUGACGCUGAGGAGCGAAAGCAUGGGGAGCGAACAGG